AUUGAACGCUGGCGGCAUGCCUAACACAUGCAAGUCGAACGGCAGCACGGUCUGGUUUACCAGAUGGGUGGCGAGUGGCGAACGGGUGAGUAAAGCGUAGGAAUAUACCUUAAAGAGGGGGAUAACCUGGGGAAACUCAGGCUAAUACCGCGUAAACUCUGCGGAGCAAAGCUGGGACCGAAAGGCCUGGCGCUUUAAGAUAGCCUGCGUCCGAUUAGCUAGUUGGUGGGGUAAAGGCUCACCAAGGCGACGAUCGGUAGCUGGUCUGAGAGGACGAACAGCCACACUGGGGACUGAGACACGGCCCAGACUCCUACGGGAGGCAGCAGUGGGGAAUAUUGGGACAAUGGGGGAACCCUGAUCCAGCAAUGCGCGUGUGUGAAGAAGGCCCUGAGGGUUGUAAACGGCAACUUUUCAAGUGGGGAGGAGGAUUACUAGGUUAAGAGCC
rnacentral:rRNA from 1 species